GGUUUUGGACGAACAAGAGGGUUCGUUCACCUAGAAGACAAAGAAGUGGGAAAGCAGAGGCCUUUGUCAGCAAAAACAACAAAAGAUUCAGAUGUAAGCUGGAAAGCAGGAGGAAGUCGUGACAACGAUUGACUGGCCGGAGAAGAAACAAAAAGUUAUUCCUCUCUUUGGGGAAAGAGUUAACAUUUCUCAAAUUGGAAAACCAAAUAAUAUGGAUUCAUCUACAUUGAUGAGUUUAAGAAAACAUUCCAUACUCACUGCUAUUUAUUCCUUAUUGCUUUUAAUUAUUUAUGCAUUUUAAAAAUUCAGUUUUUAUUAAUGUGAACAUUCCAAAUAUCAUUUGUUUAUCAGCAAAUUUUUGAAUGUAAAUAAAGCUAUCAUGACUCUG